UACGUAGGUGGCAAGCGUUGUCCGGAAUUAUCGGGCGUAAAGCGCGCGCAGGCGGUUAUGUAAGUCUGAUGUUAAAGCCCGGGGCUCAACCUCGGUUCGCAUUGGAAACUGCGUAACUUGAGUGCAGAAGAGGAAAGUGGUAUUCCACGUGUAGCGGUGAAAUGCGUAGAUAUGUGGAGGAACACCAGUGGCGAAGGCGACUUUCUGGUCUGUAAUUGACGCUGAGGCGCGAAAGCGUGGGGAGCAAACAGG
rnacentral:rRNA from 1 species